UUCAUAUGGAUUCUUGAUAGUAUACAUUGGAUAAUUAACAUUAACCGAUAUAAGUGUAUUUAUUCUCUAAAACAUAAACACCAAAUAAACUCAAUUCAAUAUUCUAACCUCAACUUUGCACUGACAGUUACUAAUUUAAGAAUUCAGUAUAAUGCCGGCUACGUGUAAUUAAAUGUUAUCACAAUUUAAUUAUCAACUUCGGCCUGUUGUGAGCGUAAAAACAUUCAAGUUAUAUCAUCAAUAAACAAGCAAGGUGAUUCUGAUUUAUUUCUGGAUAAUUUAUAUAAGACCAAUAAAUUGAAGUUUACUUUUAAAAGGUGGAUGGAAGUAGAUAAAACUGUUGGAAGACUAUAAAACAAAUAAACAACAAAUUCGUUUGAAAUUUAAAUUAUUUGCAUCACAUCUCUCUUCAUUUCCUCGAUGUAAUUCCGAAGAGUAGGCAGAUUAAGACCUUGGAAUCAACCAAGAGAAAGGGGUGAUCCGUUGUGAGGAGUGGGUAGAUUAGACCAAGGAAUCGGAUCACUUCUUACCAAUGAACGAUAACAAACCUACCCUUCUCUUGAUAAUGGCCCCAAGGCAGAAAAUGCAGGACAAUUACAAAAAAUAAAAUUAUUUCAUCUUAAAAUAUUUCCGUUAAGUGGAUAUAUUUCCAUAAUUAUUGCGAUUUCGUGACAAAGUUCAUUUGUAUUUUCACUUUCUGUCGAUCUUCAUCACCUCUUCAUUGGCUUCCUCAGAAACCAGCUGUAUAGGGGCCUGAUGGGGUUUGGCGUCCCAAAGAAGCUGGUGUGUAUGGUUAGAAUGACAAUGAUUAGAAUUUUUACUGUGAACACGGGCUUGCGUCAGGAAAUCCAUUAGCAACAACACUGAUCAAUUUACUUGGAGGAACUAUUUGCAAUAGGCUCACACAACACCUCGCCUAUGCGAAUGAUGUUGACAUCAUGGCACGAACCACUUCAGUUCUUUCGGGAACGGUCGAGGAGUUCGAGCAAGUAGGUGAAGCAAGAGGACUCAAAAUCCAUGAACAAAAAACAUGUACAUGAGAACCUCAAAGAAAAUCCCGACCUUCAAGUCAGAGAACAUCGCUUCCGAUCAAAACAAGAGUUGCUGCCGGAAACAGAAACUUUUGGGCAGUCUAGAGAGCGCUCAAGUUUAGAGGACUCUCACGAAGGUCAAAGCUCACAAUUUACAAGACAAUUAUACAUCCUGUAAUCGCAUACGGAUGCGAGAAAUGUACUAUAACGACAAAUGUAUGGCGAGUCAGAUUUGAUGGCGUUCAUCCGGGGGGCGCGUUUGAUGUGGCUGGGACAUGCCCUCUGAUCGAUACCCGCGCAGAGACAUGUAUGGAGUUCCUGGAGAACAAGACUGCGCCUCCGCUGAUUGGAGAAGUUGAGGCGGAUUUGAUCCAGCUAUGGGUUCGACAUUGGAGGCACCAUAUUCAGGACAGAAAGGAUUGGCAGUUGAUUGUUAAGAAGGGCCUGGUUCUCAAAGGACAAUAGCGCCGGUUAAAGAAGUGACUUUUUUAUUUUCUUUUUCUGUCCUCGUAUAUAUUGUUUUAACGAUUUAAAUUAUCAAUAAAUAAUGACAUGAGUUAUUUCUAUAACAAACUGAUUUUUUAAAUAUUUUAUAAAGUUAAAAAGCUUAAUAGAACUUCAUUAGUUUGAGGUGUUGUAGUUUAUUAUUUAGAUUUAUUAGUUUAUGUUAAAAGCAUUAUGAUCAUAGGAAAAAUGUAGUAUUAGACCCGUUGACAAUAUUUUGUUAUGCUCGUGACAAUUAACAGCCUCGGAUUCAAUAGUUUCAAAAAAGAUACUAUUCUUCUGACAAUUAAAAUAUAUAAAAAUUACAAUUAUUUGGGAGACAUCUAGCAAAAAUAUAAGUUUUAUUAAAAAAAAUGGAAACAACUAUUAAAUUUGGCUGUGAUAUGAAAAAAAUAUCCUUAAAACAUUCUAACAUUGUUAAAUAGAUUACUUAGUUUUAUAUACAACAUUGCAUAGAGGUUUUUCACUAUAUAAAAAACUGUACAAUACUCCAAAUGUACAUAUUUACAUCACAAUUCUAGGAAUCUCACUUUUAAGACUAAAAAAAUAUUGAAAAUACACACAAAGCCUUGUAUAUGUUUACUUUAGCAAAGUUGCAAGGUAAAAUGUUAAAGACUGGAAGUACAGAUUUUAGAUUCAGGUUGAAUCUAUGCCAAAACUGCAUCGCUAUAAAAUGUACAAUCUAAUAUGUGAAGAUAUCAACUUUUAACUGAUAAAUUAAGUAUCGGAUCUUGUAUAAAGUGUAAUUCCAAUAUUAUGUUAGAGUUGAGAGGACUUUAAAAUAAUGAAUACUAACAAUAAGUUAGUUUUAUAGUUUUAAAAGGCACUUUAUUUGUAGUAUGGCAAGUACAUUUCGCGAAUAAAUCUUUUCUAGUUACACAUAAA